rnacentral:rRNA from 1 species
AGAUAUGAUCCAGAGUACCACGGGACACGUGAAACCCUGUGGGAAGCAGGAGGGACCACCCUCCAAGGCUAAAUACUACCUAGUGACCGAUAGCGUAUAGUACCGAGAGGGAAAGGCGAAAAGAACCCCGGGAGGGGAGUGAAACAGAACCUGAAACCCUGCACUUACAAGUUGUGGAAGCCCAUCUAUUGUGUGACCGCGUACUUUUUGUAGAACCGGCCAACGAGUUACGUUAAGUAGCAAGGUUAAGCACUUAAGGUGCGGAGCCGUAGCGAAAGCGAGUUUUAACUGAGCGUUCAGUUACUUGACGUAGACCCGAAACCGGGCGACCUAGCCAUGAGCAGGAUGAAGCGAAAGUAAAAUUUCGUGGAGGUCCGAACCCGCGGGCGUUGAAAAGCUCGGGGAUGACUUGUGGGUAGCGGUGAAAUACCAAUCGAACCCGGAGAUAGCUGGUUCUCCCCGAAAUAGCUUUAGGGCUAGCCUCAAGGUGAGAGAUACGGAGGUAGAGCACUG